rfam:Chrysochromulina sp. CCMP291 CAF.Contig8498, whole genome shotgun sequence.
CCUUCGAUGUCGGCUCUUCCUGUCACUGCCUCGCAGCGGGGGCCAAAUGCAGGAUUGUUCACCCACCAAUAGGGAACGUGAGCUGGGUUUAGACCGUCGUGAGACAGGUU